rnacentral:rRNA from 1 species
UGAAGCGGCGGACGGGUGAGUAACGCGUGGGUAACCUGCCUCAUACAGGGGGAUAACAGUUAGAAAUGACUGCUAAUACCGCAUAAGACCACGGUACCGCAUGGUACAGUGGUAAAAACUCCGGUGGUAUGAGAUGGACCCGCGUCUGAUUAGGUAGUUGGUGGGGUAACGGCCUACCAAGCCGACGAUCAGUAGCCGACCUGAGAGGGUGACCGGCCACAUUGGGACUGAGACACGGCCCAG